rnacentral:rRNA from 1 species
UACGAAGGGGGCUAGCGUUGCUCGGAAUCACUGGGCGUAAAGGGUGCGUAGGCGGGUCUUUUAAGUCAGGGGUGAAAUCCUGGAGCUCAACUCCAGAACUGCCUUUGAUACUGAAGAUCUUGAGUUCGGGAGAGGUGAGUGGAACUGCGAGUGUAGAGGUGAAAUUCGUAGAUAUUCGCAAGAACACCAGUGGCGAAGGCGGCUCACUGGCCCGAUACUGACGCUGAGGCGCGAAAGCGUGGGGAGCAAACAGGG